CUUGGCGACCAUAGCGCUYUGGACCCACCUGACUCCAUGCCGAACUCAGUAGUGAAACGAAGCAGCGCCGAUGGUAGUGUGGGGUCUCCCCAUGUGAGAGUAGGACAUCGCCAGGC
rnacentral:rRNA from 1 species